ACACAUGCAAGUCGGACGAGAAAUUUCCCGCUUGCGGGAAAGAGUAAAGUGGCGCACGGGUGAGUAACACGUGGGUAACCUGCCCCUGAAUCUGGAAUAACCUCGCGAAAGCGUGGCUAAUACCGGAUAUUGUCCCUGGUGCUAUGGCAUCUUGGAUGAAAGGUGACCUCUUCAUGAAAGUUGUCGUUCAGGGAGGGGCCCGCGGACCAUUAGCUUGUUGGUGGGGUAACGGCUCACCAAGGCGACGAUGGUUAGCUGGUCUGAGAGGAUGAUCAGCCACACUGGAACUGGAACACGGUCCAGACUCCUACGGGAGGCAGCAGUGAGGAAUUUUGCGCAAUGGGGGAAACCCUGACGCAGCAACGCCGCGUGAGUGAAGAAGGCCCUCGGGUCGUAAAGCUCUGUCAAGUGGGAAAAAAUGCUUCCGGUGAAUAGCCGGAAGAGCUGAUGGUACCACUAGAGGAAGCACCGGCUAACUCCGUGCCAGCAGCCGCGGUAAUACGGAGGGUGCAAGCGUUGUUCGGAAUUACUGGGCGUAAAGAGCGUGUAGGCGGUUUGGUAAGUCAGAUGUGAAAGCCCUGGGCUCAACCCAGGAAGUGCAUUUGAAACUACCAUCCUUGAGUAUGGGAGAGGAGAGUGGAAUUCCCAGUGUAGAGGUGAAAUUCGUAGAUAUUGGGAGGAACACCCGUGGCGAAGGCGGCUCUCUGGACCAAUACUGACGCUGAGACGCGAAAGCGUGGGGAGCAAACAGGAUUAGAUACCCUGGUAGUCCACGCCGUAAACGAUGAGAACUAGGUGUAGCGGGUAUUGACCCCUGCUGUGCCGAAGUUAACGCAUUAAGUUCUCCGCCUGGGGAGUACGGCACGCAAGGGCUAAAACUUCAAAGGAAUUGACGGGGGCCCGCACAAGCGGUGGAGCAUGUGGUUUAAUUCGACGCAACGCGAAGAACCUUACCUGGGUUUGACAUCCUCUGCCAGCCCCGGAAACGGGGUUUUCCCUGCUUGCAGGGACAGAGUGACAGGUGCUGCAUGGCUGUCGUCAGCUCGUGUCGUGAGAUGUUGGGUUAAGUCCCGCAACGAGCGCAACCCUUGUCUUUAGUUGCCAGUAUUGAGUUGGGCACUCUAAAGAGACUGCCUCGGUUAACGGGGAGGAAGGUGGGGAUGACGUCAAGUCCUCAUGGCCUUUAUACCCAGGGCUACACACGUGCUACAAUGGGCUGUACAAAGGGUUGCUAGUUCGCGAGGACGCGCUAAUCCCAAAAAGCAGCUCUCAGUUCGGAUUGAAGUCUGCAACUCGACUUCAUGAAGUUGGAAUCGCUAGUAAUCGUGGAUCAGCAUGCCACGGUGAAUACGUUCCCGGG
rnacentral:rRNA from 1 species